rnacentral:rRNA from 1 species
AGCAAGUGGCGGACUGGUGAGUAAUGUCUGGGAAACUUCCCGAUGGAGGGGGAUAACUACUGGAAACGGUAGCUAAUACCGCAUACCAUCAGAUGUGCCCAGAUGGGAUUAGCUAGUAGGUGGGGUAACGGCUCACCUCGGCGACGAUCCCUAGCUGGUCUGAGAGGAUGACCAGCCACACUGGAACGGAGACACGGUCCAGACUCCUACGGGAGGCAGCAGUGGGGAAUAUUGCACAAUGGGCGCAAGCCUGAUGCAGCCAUGCCGCGGGUAUGAAGAAGGCCGUAGGGUUGGAAAGUACUUUCAGCGAGGAGGCGUUACUCGCAGAAGAAGAACCGGCUAACUCCGGGCCAGAAGCAGCGGUAAUUC